CAUCAAUCUGCGUAUAAAUAACACGACUUUACACUUUCAAAUUGCGUGUAAUACAUACGCCAAAAUCCAAUUUUGCGUGCAUAUGAUACGCCAAACCUUCCCAUUAACUUCAGUGGAGAGCAGAUGCGUCCGAAUACCACGCAGCAUCUUCAGCAGCAGUGACGUCACCAGCGAGGCUCGGUCACGGCCCGGUUCGCCCGGUUCACCUGAUGCGCGUGCACCUUCAAACAGUUAACGCCAGAUCACAUACUCCAGCAGCUCUUUUAAGAAGCCAUCUCUCUCUCUCUCUGUCUCUCUCUCUCUCAGCUUUUCCGUUCCUAUUUUGCUGAUCUUGAAGAAGCUGCCAAGAAGGCUGAACAAGUUCUUCAAAGAUUCAACCCUUCACAGCUGAAAGGGAAGACCAAAGGAAGGCCUGUCAUGGGAUUUGAAUUUGAACAUCUUGUGUGUUACGGAGAAGACCAAAAGCUGCAAAGACAAAUACUUCCAAUGCUAAAGACCAAAAACGCAAAGAAAAUCAGUCACAGCAAGCCGGUCAAACCAGUCCUGUUGGGGAUGAGGAAUGAACAUGGCCUGCACUUGUGCCCAAACAGAAAAGAAAAGUUGCACAUUUCCACUGCUCCUAGAAUGAGCAAAUCAGCUGUGCAUCAUCUCUGGGAUUUGGGCAGGAAAUGACUGAAUAUGGAGGAUGAAGCCAGUUGAUGAAGAUAUCAAUUCAGUGGCCACCAAGUGAAGCACUGCUGCCUGAACCCAUCAGAUAUCUGCUGUGAAGACUGCGUUCACGAACAGCUCUACUGCGACAGCUCAGAUGUUACGGGCCAUAAAAGAAACUUCACAACUGAACAACUGGAAGAUAAGAGGAGGGAUUCAUUUAGGCCAUAACUCAAUCAAGAAUCAAUGGACAUCAAGACCAGGUGGUGUGUGAGGAAAGCACAGAGGACUGUCAGAGACUCCAGCCACCCGAGCCAUGGAUUGCUCUCACCGUUACCAUCAAGCAGAUGUUAUCGCAGAACCUUCACCAGCAGACUGCAAGACAAGUUCUUUCCACAGACAAUCAGACUGAACUGAACUCGUACCAGCAACACCACACACAGCACACCAACCUCUUAUGUACUGCACUCUAUCACUUACACUGACUGGACUCUGACUCACUAUUAUUCUGCACCGUGACAUUCUGUUUGCACUAAUUCAUGCCGUACUGCACUGCAAAGAUAUAUAUGUACUGUGAUUAUUGUUUAUUAUUGUUUUCAUUUCAUGCUCUCUGUAUAGAAUAAUAUUUACCAUAUAUUGUUCUCUUUAUGUAUUGAGUUCUUAUAUAUAUAUUUGUGUUGCAUAUAUAUAUUCAAUACAUGUCAUCCAUAAUGUCAUGCUGCAGUUUGCACAGAAGACUUUCACCACCUGUACACUUGCGUUCAUGGUAUUGUGACAAUAAAGUGAUUUGAUUUGG